CGGUGGCAGAAGAAAUGACAGCGCCUGCGCCAACGGAAGCGGAAGUGAUCCCUCUGUGGGCACACCUUCUUCCUGCCGGCCACCUCCAGUAGCCAUGUUGAUGAGGUCAAGGCCCUUCUACCUUUGUUGUGGUUGACGGCUGGGACCCAGAGUUGUGGAAUCGCGUGACGUCGCAGCGCGGCGCCGCCGCGCAGUAGAGUCUGGACUAGAUCAGUUUCUGACGCACAAAUUCAAGGUCGGGGAGGUUGGUUGGGAGGCAUGGAAGAAAGGCCAUCCAAGAACAUAGCAAGAAGACAGUCAUCUCUAAGCCAGGAAUAGAAGUGUUGCCAGAAACCAACCUUGUUGGUGGCACCUUGACUUUAAUCUUCCAGCCUGCAGAACUGUGAGAAAAUUAAUUUCUAUUGUUUAAGCUACCCAGGCUAUGAUACCUGUAUUUUGUUAUGGCAGCCCAAACCAACUAAUACAGAUCAUAUCAAACUUUUA